AGGGCCAGAUCACGUUGAAACACCAGAUUCCCAUAUGAUCCCCGAAGUUAAGCAACGUCGAGUCUGGUCAGCUACUAGAUAGGUAACCGCAUUGGAAUACCAGGUGCUACAAG